ACCCGGUUAGCUCAAUGGUAGAGCAACUCCCUUACAAGGAGAAGGUUGUAGGUUCGAGUCCGACAUCGGGUA
rnacentral:tRNA from 2 species